GGAAAAGAAACCAACUGGGAUUACCUUAGUAACGGCGAGUGAAGCGGUAAAAGCUCAAAUUUGAAAUCUGGUACUUUCAGUGCCCGAGUUGUAAUUUGUAGAAUUUGUCUUUGAUUAGGUCCUUGUCUAUGUUCCUUGGAACAGGACGUCAUAGAGGGUGAGAAUCCCGUUUGGCGAGGAUACCUUUUCUCUGUAAGACUUUUUCGAAGAGUCGAGUUGUUUGGGAAUGCAGCUCAAAGUGGGUGGUAAAUUCCAUCUAAAGCUAAAUAUUGGCGAGAGACCGAUAGCGAACAAGUACAGUGAUGGAAAGAUGAAAAGAACUUUGAAAAGAGAGUGAAAAAGUACGUGAAAUUGUUGAAAGGGAAGGGCAUUUGAUCAGACAUGGUGUUUUUUGCAUGCACUCGCCUCUCGUGGGCUUGGGCCUCUCAAAAAUUUCACUGGGCCAACAUCAAUUCUGGCAGUAGGAUAAAUCAUUAAGAAUGUAGCUACCUCGGUAGUGUUAUAGCUUAUUGGAAUACUGCUAGCUGGGAUUGAGGACUGCGCUUCGGCAAGGAUGUUGGCAUAAUGGUUAAAUGCCGCCCGUCUUG
rnacentral:rRNA from 1 species